rnacentral:lncRNA from 1 species
UUGCUUGACUCGAGUGCUAGCUUUCUUCUUCUGUCAGAGACGGAUCUUGGGCUACCGGGGACCGGCUUUCAAAAAGCACCUUUGGGCAGAGCUUUCUGGAUCCACUAAAUGACUUAGGAGACAGAAGUAAGAGCUUGCACAUCGCCCCAACAAUUUAUCGAAACAUCUUCUCUUAUAUACGCUAUUUGGCUUGUUAGGACAGCAAGCAUGAAAGUCUGCGGGUCGGAUGGUUUUCCCUUCUUCUCAACAGAAUCCGAUAGACAAGAAAGAAUCGAAAGCAGUCCUUUGCGCAUUGUCUUCUUCAUUGCGUUGGAUGCCUUUAUCCCCUACCCCAAUCCCUAGCUAGCAGCAAUCAAAAUCUCCUUCAUUCAAAGGGAUUGGUGUCACUAUGCUUAACACAUGUGAAUUGGAAAUGGAAUUACUUUCUUAUUUUGUAACCUCCCAAACUCAG